UUGGAUAAAAGGGUGAGUGAAUCACAGACCCUUGUAAGGCACAUGCUUGCCUGUGAGUCUGGAAAUGGCAAUGCUGAAUUAGCUGUAAAUAGGCCCUAUGAGUGCAGAUGGAGAACCCAAGACUCAAAGUCCAAAAGGAUGAUGUAAUUCAGGUUUUGUCCAGACAGCUGUCCUAUCUCUCCAAUGAGUGGGCAUAGGAAUCCAGGGAGUGUGUUUGUUUUUUCACACAUGCAUUCAUUGACUAUCUACCACAUUCCAGGUAGGAUGUCAGGCAUUGAGGUUUUAGCAAAUCAGCCUAAUCAGGUAGGCAGUUGUAGCAGCAUUACCAACAACUAAUCUACUCAUAUUCCUAACCAGUGCCAGCCCCCUACCACUACUGCUUGAUAGUGAGUGGAAAGAGCUCCCCUUUCACUUUAGGGGACUGUGAAAGCCAUUUCUGAAACCAGCAAGUGUGCCCUUACUAAAUGAAUUCUAAAAAUGCUUUUUGAGGAGAAGGAAGGAGAAAUCUCUGGCUCAUGCUCAGGAUUUUGAAGGCAGAAUUAGAUUUGGCAGUAGGAAAAAUUCAAUUCCAUUUAACAAAGAUUUAUUUAUUUUAAAAGUUCUUUUAUAUGCCUGAAACCACAAAGUUGAAAAAAAGGAGUCGGUCAUGGACUCUGCUCUCUAGGGAUUAACAAUCUAGGGACUGAGGAAGACCCAAAAAUAGUUGAAGUGGGUGCAAUAAUUCCAGCAUCAGGCAGAUUAAGCAAGUGCUAUAGUAGGGUAAAAGUGAAACACCUGUAGGGCUCAGUGGUUAUCAUAUAUUUUUGGAGGACUGAGGAAGGAAGAAGUCUGAGAGCGCUAUAGCUUGUCCUCAGUGUCUUCCCGUUUCCUUGAUGGGAUCUUCUCUUUAAAUUAAAUUACAUUAAAUUGAAAUUUUGAUUAGUUAAUACAUUCCAAUAUUCAAAAACCAAAACAAUUUCAGUAGAUGUAUGUUAAGAAGUCUUGCUCCCAUGAUGUCCCAGAAAUUUUGUUUUCACCACGUUCCAUUCAGAUCAUUUCCUCCACUCCUGUUUCCUGCCAGUAAGCUUUUGUAUUGGUUUCUUUUGUAUUCUUCUAGGGCUAUUUUAUGUAAACAAAGCAGAUAAGAAUAUUCCUUUUUAUUACUUCCUUUUUCUUCCACAAAAUUACAUUAUAUACAGUGUCCAUCUUGCUUUUUUCCCUUCACAAUAUACCCCAGAGAUGACUCUAUAUCAAUAAAUAAAGAGCGUCUUGAUUCUUGCUUUAAGAAUCUUGCUUUAAAUCUCUUGCUUUAUAAAUGCAUAGAAAACCUUGCAGUUUGCUUACAACUCCCAAUAGAUGGACACUUGGAGUGUUUGCUGUUAAAAAAUUGUUGCACAAACCAUGUACAUACAUCAUUUCACAUGUGUGCAGGUGUAUCUAAAGGGCAAAUACCCAGAAGUAGGACUGCUCAGAGAUCCACUCUCUUUUCCUUUUUUCUUUUUUUUAAAUCAAGCUAUCAUUAUUCCACAGUGUCAAAGAUAACUUACUUUGCCAUACAGACUCUCAAAGACCAAAGGAAUGGAUCUCUUAGGGUUGAAUUCUAGGUCUAUGAGAAAAUAUUAAGUGGGAUCCUAAGACACUUUCCACAUCUUAAGAUAUGUAGGAAGCCAUUUAUUUCACAUAAUCCUCUUAUAUGAUUGACUCUAUUAUCAGAUCCUGAUUUCCAAAUCCAUCAAUAUUUGUUUUGGCCUGGUCAGUGGCUCUCUUUGUCCUCAUUCAUCUGUUCAACCAACAAAUGGUUUUUGGGCACUUUCUAGACCUUAAGUCUGACAGACACUGGAGUUAGAGUGGACUCUUACUUGGUCCUGCUUCCUAGCUUAUAAUCUAGACAGAGAUAUAAACAUCUAAAUACACAUUUAGUAUGGUAGUUAUUACGGUACACAUAUAUAUAGGUUGAGCUUUGCUCCCAGCAGCUCCACCUUCUCUGUGUAUGCUUUUGGCAAGCUACUGGCAUCUCUCACUGCCACUAGCCAUAUGCUUUUCAUAAUGCCCAGAAAUUGGGGUCAGAAAACUUGGAUUUUGGUUUAAUCUGUGCUACUAAUUAAUAUUGUAAUGUAAGUACAUUAGUAACAUAAUAAGCUUGUAGUUUUUAGAAUAUCAAAAUUCUUCAUCUAAGAUGUGAGUAUCAAAUGAUAUCAAAGCUUAAAAGUGCUGUGCAAAUUAUUGUUUACAUCCUUUCUCCCCUAGGAAACAGAACUGUGAGUGAGAACAACCAAGGAUUGUGGGAAUAAUUGCAGUGCAGGCCCACUGCGUCCUGUGCAGAGUGCUCCUGGCAGUCUCCACCUGGGACCAUUGAUACAUGCUAUUCUACCUGUUCUCUUUGAUGCUUACAAUUGUCUAGUUAGCUCUUUCCUCAGUGUCUUGGUUGGAUUACAAGGUAGGAAAGGGGAAAGCCAGAAUCAACAGGUCACCUACAAGCCCAAGCACAUUACCUCUUUGAAUCAUAGAGAAGCCAGAAAAUUCUGAGAAGGAGCAAGACAAUUGCUGAGGUUUCAUGUUGGUAAUUACCUAUCACUCCCCAAGUGGGUUAUAGAGAAAACCUCUCUAAAUAGCUUUAGCUUUAGCUACAGUCUUCCAGUCUUGAUUAGAACGGUAGAUUUUUGGAGCUAGAAAUGUUAGAAAUCAGCAAUCUCAACAUUUUCUUCUUCAUUUUUAUGAACAGUGAAAAUGAGGUCCAGCAAGGUUAAGUGACAAGGUCAAGAUCACAUAACAAGUUAGUGGUGUGAGCUGAUUUCCAAACAUUCCUUUUCCAUCUGCAUGCAUCAAUUUCACCUAUGUUCCAUUUUGACUCCCAUCUUAAUACAUUGUUUAAGGGGUCUAAACAGUUCCUCUCCUCCCACUUGGGAGUUUCUCCUGUUAAGAUCACUUCAGGGAGUCUCCUGGGUUUUGAAGAAAAGAACAUUUUCAGCAGAUUUUUAUUUUCCUCUGCUGCCUCCACCUCAACCCAUACAAAUUAUUCUGAGCCUAGGAAUAUCUAGAAUGAGCUCAGGUUCAAACUGGUCCGUGGCUUCUGUUAUUCCAGGGAGAGGUGAUGUGGCUUUCCCCUUUCCAAUGUUGUUUGUGGUCCUAGCAUGCCAGGGUUCUUUCUCUGAGGAGAAGUUCUGUGAUUUUUAUUACCAGUAAUGUAAAACAGGAAACCAAUACUAUCAUUUUCACUGUAGGUUUUAUUUCCCUGGUGACAUAUGAAGAAAAUUGGUUCAGUGAAGAAGCCAGCUAUAAGGGUGAAAAUCUGUAGAUGGUGGGUCCACUGGAGCCUGGAAAGGGUGUGGAGUCAAGGGAAGGAGGAAAGUCUGACCCUUGGUGGGAGGGCUGAUCUCACCAGCUUCAGACAAUGGCUUUCUGUACUUCAGUUUUUAUCUGAAUAGGAAGGAGAAAAAGGGAAAGACUCCAAAAGAAUAAAGAGGGAAAGAAAGAAGGAAAGAGAGGGUACAAAAGAGACAGGGAACAAAUGAAAGAAGGAAAUGGAAGAAAAUGCUCCCAUAGGAGUGAAGAGGCCGUGAGAGAACAAGAAUCAAAGAAAAGAAGAAGGCCAUGUGUCACUCAACAGUGCAUUUAAUGUAAAUAUGACUUCUUUUUAAGAUUAUCUUUUUUUUUUUUUCUUGAUGAGUGUGAGGUAAUCAGACUCAGGCCAUGUUUCUUUGACUGCAGAGAAAUUAGAGUGAUCAAAAGACUAGGUCAGACCAGUGUUUGGCUGCAGGGACUAACACACUAAGAUCCUGUCUGGGAUGAAAGGUGAGAAUGAGGAGGAAGGGGAGGAGGAUAAAGGGGGAAGUAUUUUAGUCCACUGGGAAUAUGGGCUUGCAUAUAUUCGGUACUCAGCAUGUACUUCUUAAAACUUGCAUUCCUCCCUUUGCCACUUGCUCUGAUGCAGUCAUGGUGACACUAACUUAGAAACAAUACAAAAAUCGAUUCAUAUAUUUUUUUAAAUUGUUGUGGCCAAUACUUGGUUAGAAAUUGGGCAUCACCAAGUUUGGAAGGUAAAGGAGUGGAUGGGAGGAAAAAUUUCAUGGGCUAACAGAGGUAAGAAAGUGUUUGCUCUUCUGGGUGGUAGUAGAGAAGGAAUCUUCUAGAGUGGGCUGAGGCCCCAGGGUUGUAUAAAAUGGAAAACAACUGCACUUUAACUACCUGGAAAGAUAAAGGGAUAGCUGGUUUGAUAUUCUCAAAGUGCUUUGCAAUUAUGUUUGUUGGUGGGGCUAUCAGUCAUGAUGCUUCAACUGGUCUGUCUCCUGAAACUUGGAAUCAUUAGUAGAUGGAAAAAACAGUUGGAACUAAUUUAUCCUGACAAGACCAUCAAUUGGCUCCUCUUACAUGGAUUCCCAGGGCUGCCCUGGCCCCUACCCUUCUUGAUUCUGUUUGGCAUAAUUAUGCAUUUCUUCAAUUUUGAGAGCUACUACUCAUUCUUCCAGGAUGUCUUCUUUUUAAACUUGAGGUAGGAAGAAUCUGUUUCUCUUGCUUGAAGUCAAAGGACCCUCACCCAACUAAUAGAUGUUCUAUUCUACUACCAAAACACUGACUCCCCCCACUGUACCUUUUAAAGCUCUAGCUUUUUUAGUAAUAAAUACUCCCUAUACUUGAAAUAGACUGAUGUCCCCUCAAUUUAAUGGUAAAUCUAAUAAUCCCUGGCCUCUCUCUCAAAUGCCUGAAUGAGCCAUUUAACCCUUAGAGGCUCCAAUAGAAGGUUUAUAAACAUCCACAGAUAAACAUUUGGAUCAGACUAGGAAAAGCAGCACAUUUUGGAAGAGGUGAAUUCUAAUUCUAAAACUAACUAGCAGGUACAAUGAUUUUCCUUUUCCAUGACAUGGACUUCACAGGAUUGAUAAGAAAAAGUGAUUGAGCUCACUUAUGUAAGGAGUCACAUGGCACUUGACACAUAAGGGGACGAGUCACCACAGUCCCUAUUGGAAUAGAAGUGCCAAACUCUUGUGCUUGGGGGAAUACACUUAGCGAUGUCCAUAGUGAAUCCAGACUAGGGGUUUCAUAAUCCUUGGAAAUGUGGGCACUUGACCAGAGUCACUGAGCUCAAAGCUUCUGAUCAGAGGACACAGAAAAACACCCAGGAGCUUAAAGACAAGAGAAGGGCAAAGAGGCAAUGAUGCAGGGAUUAAAACAACAAAAGGAUGGCCUCACAGAGAGGGAAAAGGAUAGGCCAAGAGAAAGCAUCCUCAAGGCAGAACACAGGAGAGAGGUACAGAACUUUACAGCCAGAGAUCAGAUGUGUCUGGAGUUUUCUCUGGUCCUGAAAUCCCAAGUUGUUUUGUAACCUAAUGCUGGUUUAUGGGACCUAAGGGCUGGAUUAUGGGAAUAUUAUAUUCCCAUAUUUAUCCAACCUAAGGGCUGGAUUAUGGGAAUAUUAAACCAGAGCACCAGGCUAGAAAGACUGGAGAUGACAUGAAGCUGCACAAGAUACAGUUUCUGCAAACUACUCAGGCUUUCAUUAAGCAAACUUUAAUUUGUGUGUGUUCUCUCCACUGUACCUUAAAGUAAAUGUAUUCUUUAUGAUCUGGAGAGAUGCCUACUCUUCUAAUUUGGAAGAAAUAUAAAUGCUGGUAGGAUUGUCUCCAGGGAAUGUUACUACAUAUCGUCAUUAAGGGAGAAAAUAAUGAGAGUGCAGGAGAUUAACUAGUUAGUUGGGGAAUCUACUAGAAGAAAGGAAUUGACACCUCAGGGCGUAAUCUUGAAAAUUGUUCGGCACAGACAGCAACAUGCUGAGCAGAGGAGGAAUGGGA